rnacentral:lncRNA from 1 species
AGGGGGCUUGGAAGAGGGUCAGCUGCGCGAGAGGAGCUCGGCGAGAUCCGCUCCUUGACGCCAUGGUGGCUGGGGCUUUCCCGACGCAUUUAGAUUGAAAAGAGGCAUGCGGGGCGGGGCUAGGAAUUUUAUAGGGGCUCGGUUGGGCGCUUAAACUAGGAAAUCGCGGAGAGCCCGGGAUCGAUUGCCAUCGGGGUGUCCGGCUCAGCGACGGCAGAGGAAGGAGAUGACGCUAUGUGGUGG